rnacentral:rRNA from 1 species
UACGUAGGGGCCGAGCGUUGUCCGGAGUUAUUGGGCGUAAAGCGCGCGCAGGCGGCCUCGCGCGCCCGACGUGAAAGCCCCCGGCUUAACCGGGGAGGGUCGUUGGGGACGGUGGGGCUUGAGGGCGGGAGAGGUCGGUGGAAUUCCCGGUGUAGUGGUGAAAUGCGUAGAGAUCGGGAGGAACACCUGUGGCGAAGGCGGCCGACUGGGCCGACCCUGACGCUGAGGCGCGAAGGCGUGGGGAGCGAACGGG